rnacentral:lncRNA from 1 species
CAGUGUUCCAGGGUGGUGCAGAAAUCUUCAAGUACGUGCAUGGCUUCAUCACUGGUGUCCCUAGCGUUGGUCUGUUUUCUAAAAGUUGUUGCUGCUGCAUGGACUCAUUCAGCUCACGUAGGACUGCAUACUUCUUUCAUAACAAAUCAUUCAACAUGCUGAGUCAGAUCCUCUUUAACCAAAGGGCUCAUGCUCUUUGGUGAUCACAGAUAAAUGUAUGAUUGAUGCAAGUCACUUCCAGGAACUCCUGACAAGCCCAUCAAUGACACUAACUAUUGUCUGAGGUGGAGGACAUUCAAGACCUUUUGCCAUAUAGAUAACAUCAAGAAUUCUGUAAGUUUCUUCAGUUUCCAAGAGGUUAAUUUAUGGCAGCUUCAUUCCAGGGCUUAAUUUAAGUCUUUUACCACGCUGAAUCUCUGGAAGGGUAGAGUGAAGUCAGUGUUGUAGAACUGACCCUCUGGGCCAUGUAGGUGGGAGGCAACCUUUAACCACUGGUAAUGUGACUCAUUAUUCCACUGAAACUGUCUUCUCUGUGGUUUCCAGGAGACUGUCAUAGUCUGUGUAGAACUCACAGAUGGUAAACUCAGGAUCGUGGGUCAAAACAAUUCCUUCAUUCUGGAAGUGGUGUCCAAUGUCAUAAACCUGGUCAAUGCCAAAAGCACAUUAUGGUAAAGUUCUGGGGGCAAUUGUCUUACAUAAGUUCAUGUCUUAUUUUUUUGUGAUAAGAGAGGAAAAGCUUGGUCACAGCUCCCCCCCACCCUAGGAUGAUGUUCAUUUUAUAAAUUCUAAUCUCUAGGAAUCCCAGAUCACCCAAGAAGCUUCUUACAUCUGUGAUGACCUUACCAUUGAUGAUAUACUUCUGCCUUAUAAAAUCAAUCAGGAUCAAGUCCAGGCGGAGGUAACAUAUGUAACCAUGGAAAGAGCAGUAUGAUCUCGUAGGGAAUGACACUCAGCUCACCAUUUUUGAUUUUCUCAGGAUUCCUCUGAAUUUUAAUCAUGUCUCCUGAUGUAAUAUUGUUAUGAAUAAAUUCUUCUUCUGAUCAAUAAUUCCUGGAAUUCACCAUGACUUGCAACUUGACCUGUCUCCUCUGCAGGUCAUAGAAGAUGAGCUUUCCCCCACAAGCUCUUUUGGCCUGCGUCCUCCCUGCCACCUUUAAGGCAAUGUCAGCCAGGUAGCUCCCAGGCUGCAGGUAACUGUACCCUUGGAUGAAGUGAGUGAGCAAGAUGUCUACAUGGAACUGCGUGGGUCUCAGUCUUCCCUAUUCAGCUGGUGGACAGCUUGACUGCAGAUCUUGUAGCAUUGAUUCACACCCACACCACUCUCGGUGGUGGGGCUUGUGGAAGCAGCCUUGCCAGGAUUGCAGCCAUCCCGGCUUAGCUAUUUCUCAGUGAGAUUUUUCUGAUUGGCCCCUUCUCAGCCACUUUCCUCUCAGCUCUCAGGUGUCUCUUUUGUUUAUUCUUGCUCAGUUUCAUUUUGCAGACAUCUGCUUUCACUUCGGUCCUGGGCUGCUGCUGUCUUCCUGGACAGGCUCACCCAAAAGAUUGAAAGUAUUCAUCUUAACAACUAGUGUAACAGCACCAUAUGAUAGUUGGAUAGUUGGUCAUUGGCUGUAUCUUCAGGCUGACCAUUCCUAGUGUAGGUAUAAUGACCACAGAACCAUCUCUCUAGCUUCUGUUCUGUUGGGUAAGUGGGCUGCCUCUAGUUUUAACUGCAAUAUUAAGUUCAGUUCUAAGCAUUUUUGUGUGCACCUUUGUUUCUUUUUUUGGGGGGGGGGUACUGGGGAGUGAACUCAAGGGGCACUUGACCACUGAGCCACAUCCCCAGCCCUAUUUUGUAUUUUAUUUAGAGACAGGGCCUCACUGAACUCAUGAUCCUCCUGCCUCAGCCUCCCAAGCCACUAGGAUUACAGGCAUGUGCCACCUUACCUGGCUUCAUUUUUAUAUUUAAUAAACUUAUAUUUCCUGUUUUUAUGUGUUUCCUUGGAACAUAUCUCUAAAGUAUUUUCUAAGGUCAAAGGUUAUUGUCAAUUUUACCAUUUAACAAGGUGAUGUAAAAAGCAUGUAAUCAUAGGUUCAGAAACACUCUUGUCCAUAUUUUCAUAGACUACUGAUGCUGGAGAGCUAGGAGGCAGCAUGGUCUAGUGGAGAGAGGGUGGGCAUUUAGGCAUUGAUCAGGGAGAGCUGUGUUCAGGUCUGAGCAGUAUUACCUGGGUAAGAAGUAGGGGCUUGGCAGUCACCCAGCCUCUGUGAAGUUUCUAGCUAUAAAAUGGGAGAGAGGCCAUUGCUCAUAACACCAGGCAAAGCAGGCAUCAGUUACAUACAUCUGUUCCUGACUUUGGCCUGAAGCCUUGGUCAUCUUUGUUACACUCUCAGCCGGCCCAUUUUUGCAGAAGGUGGACUGGGUAACAGGAGUUGAACAAUGAACUAUUAAAUUGUGUUCUGGGCUGUGCACAGUGGCAUAUGCCUGUAAUCCCAGUGAUUUGGGAGGCUGAGACAGGAGGAUCAUAAGUUCAAGGCCAGCCUUAGCAAUUUAGCAAGGCCCAGCAUAACUUAGCAAUUUAGCAAGGCCCAGUCUCAAAAUAAAAAAUAAAAUGGCUGGGAAUGUGGCUCAGUGGUAAAGUACCCCGGCGUUCAAAUCCUCAGUACCCUUUGCCACUCCCCCAAAAGUGUUCUACAUCUUAGGAGGUGUGCAUACUGCCACCUUCUGGUGUGAAGAGUUAGUGUAGAGAUGAUCCAGGGAUCAAGCUACUUCUCAUUGUGUCCCUGUGAGGAUCUGCCCCAGGGUGAUGCUGUAGGAGAAAGAGGGGGAGGUCCUCUCCACCCAGCCUGACAGCUUCUAUCUAGAUGAUGUCCUCCUUCUGCUGAUGAAAUUCUGGAGACAGGAAGAUACUGAGUUUCCAAAGCCUACUUGUAAAUGAUGGUGUAUUUUUGGCUCUGAAGACUGUGGAGGUGUUGGCAAAGGAUGUCUUUGCAAAAUGAGGUGUCUUUAUCAGUGUUUAUUAAACCCUUCAGAGAGGUUGACUGUAGUGGUAAGUUAGUCCAUAGAUCUUUACAGCACCUAGAAUGUGCCAGAUACAUGCUUUGAUACACAUCAUUGAAUUAUGGAGGGUUCCUGCCUCUUUCUCAUUGUCUAGAGGGGAUGUUUGUUGAUAAGAUUAUCUAUCUAUUUAUUUAUUUACUUACUUACUUAUUUUUGUGAUACUGGGAUUGAACCCAGGGGCACUCUGCCAUUGAGUCACACCCUCAGAACCCCCCACUACUUUUAAAUCUUUGAGACAGAGUCUUACUAAGUUGUCCAGGCUGGUCUUGAACACAUAAUCUUCCUGCCUCAGCCUCCCCAGUUGCUGGGAUUACAGGCAUGUGCCACCAUACCUGGUGAGAUUAAUUAUUUUAAAAUUGACAUAGUUUCUUUUAUUUAUUUAAUUGAAGACAAAAAUUGUAUCUAAACAGAACAUUAAAAAAUAGUUUAAAGCACAAUAUGUUGCCUCUCAAGUACAAUAGCCAUUUUUUUCUCAGUAGAUUCUAGCCCUUGUACACUGGUAUGAAGAUUUUUACAGAGCUAUAACCAUAAUACAUAUAUUAUCCUGAAGUUCGUUAUAUUUUACUUGUUAUAAACAUCUCUCUAUAUUGCUACUUAAUCUUCAUAAUUAUCCUUAUAGCUAUGUAUGAGGCAAAUGUAUGACUGAAUCAAAAUCUUUGUAGCAAUUCUCUUAAGUUUAGUUUUUUUCUAUAAUAGACACUGCUUAUAUUAACUUCUUUAUGCACAUCUUUAUUGCACUACUUCUCAAUAAUCAUAAAUAUGGUUCUUCCUAUGUGUUGCUAUAUUGUUUCCCAAAAGAACUAUUAUGAAUUUACAAUGCCACCAAAAUUAUGUCAGUUAGUUUGGUUGCAGCCCUGGGUGUCUUGAAUAUUGUUGCUGUAAAACAUUUUUGAGAAUUAAUAUUUUAAAUGGGAUCCUAGAUUUGCUUUCAUCUGUAUUUCUUUGAAUACCAGUAGGCAGUUUCCUUUUCACAUGUGCAGUAUUUAUAAUUGCUUCUGCAUGAGAACUCUGUUUAUAUUGUGGUUAAAAAUGUGAAUGGGACCCUUGUUGUACGUCUUUUCUUAAAAGAGAGAAAAGCAAUAGAAAUUGCAUUAUUACAGCUCAGAGGGUCAGAAUGGUACUUAACUGUUUUAUUCGUUGGGUUAACAAUGCCUUCUGGAAUCUUCCCAAGAAUGCCCCAGUGUUCUAAGAUCUAGAGUGCAAGUCUAUUCUCCUGCCCAGAACUACUGAGAAAAGUGAUUCUACAACACCCUUAGUGUGCUUGACUCAAUAAAGGAAAUGACAUGAUUCCCCAGUAUGUAUGAGAGAGUUGGACAGCAGCCUAGGUUAUAAAAAUGCAAAUUAAGAUUAUGUGAUUGGAGAGUUAAUUGGUUUCCUAGUGACUCUGAAGAAUACAGAGUGUCCUUGAGUGUCUCAGUUGGAAGGG